rnacentral:rRNA from 1 species
CUAGUAGGUGGGGUAACGGCUCACCUAGGCGACGAUCCCUAGCUGGUCUGAGAGGAUGACCAGCCACACUGGAACUGAGACACGGUCCAGACUCCUACGGGAGGCAGCAGUGGGGAAUAUUGCACAAUGGGCGCAAGCCUGAUGCAGCCAUGCCGCGUGUAUGAAGAAGGCCUUCGGGUUGUAAAGUACUUUCAGCGGGGAGGAAGGGAGUAAAGUUAAUACCUUUGCUCAUUGACGUUACCCGCAGAAGAAGCACCGGCUAACUCCGUGCCAGCAGCCGCGGUAAUACGGAGGGUGCAAGCGUUAAUCGGAAUUACUGGGCGUAAAGCGCACGCAGGCGGUUUGUUAAGUCAGAUGUGAAAUCCCCGGGCUCAACCUGGGAACUGCAUCUGAUACUGGCAAGCUUGAGUCUCGUAGAGGGGGGUAGAAUUCCAGGUGUAGCGGUGAAAUGCGUAGAGAUCUGGAGGAAUAC